rnacentral:tRNA from 1 species
GGGCAGUUAUCCAAGCGGCUAAAGGAAGCAGACUGUAAAUCUGCGGUCAAAAGACUUCGCUAUUUCAAAUCUAGUGCUGCCCA